rnacentral:rRNA from 1 species
CGGUAAACGCAUGGUUAGCGGCGGACGGGUGAGUAACACGUGGGGAAUCUGCCUAUCAGACCGGAAUAACGCCUGGAAACGGGUGCUAAUGCCAGAUAGAGCAACGGGAAGGCAUCUUCCAGUUGGGAAAGGCGCUGCAAGGCGUCACUGAUAGAGGAGCCCGCGGCGCAUUAGCUAGUUGGUGAGGUAACGGCCCACCAAGGCAACGAUGCGUAGCCGACCUGAGAGGGUGACCGGCCACACUGGGACUGAGACACGGCCCAGACUCCUACGGGAGGCAGCAGUAGGGAAUCCUCGGCAAUGGGCGAAAGCCUGACCGAGCAACGCCGCGUGAGCGAUGAAGGCUUUCGGG